rnacentral:piRNA from 1 species
UAAGGAGAAAGAAUGGUUUACUCCGAUGCU